rnacentral:rRNA from 1 species
UACGUAGGGGGCAAGCGUUAUCCGGAAUCACUGGGUGUAAAGGGUGCGUAGGCGGUUAUGCAAGUCAGAUGUGAAAUGUCGAGGCUCAACUUCGGAACUGCAUUUGAAACUGCGUGACUAGAGUACAGGAGAGGUAAGUGGAAUUCCUAGUGUAGCGGUGAAAUGCGUAGAUAUUAGGAAGAACACCAGUGGCGAAGGCGACUUACUGGACUGAAACUGACGCUGAGGCACGAAAGCGUGGGAGCAAACAGG